UGUCCCCCACCCUGACGGUGCCACCAGCAGCUGCCUGCUUGGCCCCUUGAGGUGUUUGAGAAGCAUCAGCUGGGAGGGGCUCUGCCCCAGGGAGGGCGGUGGGCGGGAACAGCUGAGGAGUGCCGGCCGGGAAGUGGAGAGGCAUUGGAGGCCCGUUCCCAGCCUGUUCAUUCGUGACUAAAUCUGGGUCACCUCCCGGCGCAGAGGCAAGCCGGCGGCGCCCGGACGCCCCUUCCUACGGGAAGCCCUCCUAGAUGCCCCCCCUGGGAGGGCCCCCUCCACACCCACGGCGCUUGUCUUGUGCAUCUGGGGUGUCUUCCCCCCGCCUGCCGCGUAGGGACCCUGUGGGGAGCAGGGGGCGGCGGGUGGGUGUGGGUCGUGGGGCUGAUGCGUGCUUGCAGCGCUAGCUCACCCAUCCCGGAAUGCCGGACUGGGUCGUGCCGUCGUCCUGCGGUCCCGCCUCCGCCACGCCGUGGUCCUCGGGGCAAAGCCGCAGCCCUGGACCGGGCACGCAUCUGUGCUCCCGUGGGACCAGCCUUCCUGCUCUGCUUCCUGUUUGCUAGAACCUUCGAGCACGUGCUGUGUCUGCCCUGAAACCUCCCUCCCGACGGCCCUGCAGCCGCUCUGCGGCCCCUCCCCACCCCGCGUGGGGGUCGCCAUCGCCCUCGCCCCCACUCACCCCCUGAGUCUGCCCUUCCUUCUGAGGCUCUACGUCCACGGGUGGUUCGCUGGUGGGGCCCCUGUCCCAACCCCCGACCGGGGCCCGACUCUGCGUCCGCGGGGGUCCCAGGGGCUGUGGCCACCGCACCGCAGGUCUUCACACACGGAGGAUCGUGGCUGAGGGCGGGGGUGGGGGCUUCUGGGGGCUGCCACGUCCCGCCGCGUCCUCCCUGGGUGACCUCUGGGGGUCUCCUGCGUGGGCACGGGGCGGGGGGUGACAGCUGGGCCCGGCCACAGGGUGGGAGGACCGGGCCUGGGGAGGUGCUCUGCCCGACUUGGUGCGGGGGCGGGGGAGACGCUGCCCCUUGGCUGCACUGGCCGGAACUGCGGCCCUGCGAGAGGACCUAGGCCGUGGGGGAGGCCUUGUGCUUGGGGGUACCCCCGCAGGCUGGGGGGGAGGCCGGGGCCAGCACUGGGAGGCGACGGGCAGGUGGAGCUGGGGUGGGGGCCGGGGUGUCUCCCCGGACAGACUGUGCUGCCGCAGGGGCGGAUAAAGAGUUAAGGGCCGAGGGAAGUAAUAAUGUUUCUAAUUUUCCCCUGUGAUUUAAUAAAAAUGUAGAUCACUGGGCGGAGGACGCCCUGGCUGGCCGUGGUGUUGACCGAGGUGAACUGUGGGCUUGGGGUGGCCGGCCUGCCUUUGUCUGCCCCCCACGCAGAGCGGGGUGCCGCCAUCCCGGGAGGCCGGGCGGUGAGGGGCGACACCGCGCCCUCCGCCCCGAUGGACGGGUGCUGGGGGGCGGGGGACGGCCCUCACGGUGUCUGGGUGUCUGCUGAACGCGGGGCCCCCGGGGGAACUGCUCGGAGCUGGGCUCCCCUCUGACUGCCCCACCCCCACGUCCAGAGGAGAGCGGGGCCUGCGGUGACGAUGGCCGCAUCCUGGACUUCUGCACGCAGG